GUAGUUGUAAGGUCAGUGGUAGAGUGUAUGCUUUCUAGGGAUGAUGUCCUGGGUUCAAUCCCCAGCUUCUCCC